UUUAAAGUUGUUUGUUAUAGUAUAAAUUUAUAUGUGAAUUUUUGUGGUAAUUUUGAAAUUUCUUGAAGAAAUUAAUUGAAGCAGUAAAUAGUUUUAUUGAUAUUAAGUUAAUUUAGAUUUGGUUAAUACUUUAAGAUUUGGUAAAAGCUGUGCCAGCAUCCGCGGUUAGACAGUAAAAUCAAAUAAACAUUAUUAGCUUUAAAGUAAUUAACAUUAUUUUAUAAUAUGGAAAUGGGAAUAUUUUAAGGUGAAAUAUUAUAAUAUUUUAAUUUGUAUAUAAAUAGUGUGAUUGUUAUGAAAUUGAAAAUAUAAACUAGGAUUAGAUACCCUAUUAUUUUUAUUGUAAAAUUUAAAUGUAAGUUAAAGGAUUAAUAGUUAUGGUCUUGAAAUUUAAAGAAUUUGGCGGUAUUAUAGUCUGUUUAGAGGAAUCUGUCAUGUAAUCGAUGAUCCACGUUGAACCUUACUUAUAUUAUUUCUUGUAUAUCGCUGUUUAAGAAUAUACUUUUAGGUAAUUUUCUAAAUAUAAUAUUACUUAGUAUUUCAAGUCAAGGUGCAGUUAUAUAUAAGUUGAAUGAUGGAUUACAAUAAAAUUUAUUUAUUAUGAAUUGUUAUUGCAAUAUAAUUUGAAGGUGGAUUUAAUUGUAAUUUUGUAAAGAUUGUUAAAAUGAUUUAAAGCUCUAUAAUAUGCACACAUCGCCCGUCGCUCUCAUUAUAAGAUGAGAUAAGUCGUAACAAAGUAGAUGUAUCGGAAGAUGUAUCUAGAAAGGUGGAAUUUAU
rnacentral:ncRNA from 1 species